UACGAGGGGGGCAAAUGUUGUUCGGAAUCACUGGGCGUAAAGGGAGCGUAGGCGGGUUCUUAAGUAAGGUGUUUAAUCCCGGGGCCCAACCCCGGACCGGCACUUUAAACUGGGAAUCUUGAAUAGGGGAGAGGUCAGUGGAAUUGGAGGUGUAGCGGUGGAAUGCGUAGAGAUCUCCAAGAACACCAGUUGCGAAGGCGGCUGACUGGACCCAUAUUGACGCUGAGGCUCGAAAGCAUGGGGAGCAAACAGG
rnacentral:rRNA from 2 species